rnacentral:rRNA from 1 species
UACGUAGGGGGCAAGCGUUGUCCGGAAUCAUUGGGCGUAAAGCGCGUGUAGGCGGCCAACUAAGUCAUACGUGAAAUCCCUCGGCUUAACCGGGGAACUGCGUCUGAUACUGGAUGGCUUGAGUUCGGGAGAGGGAUGCGAAAUUCCAGGUGUAGCGGUGAAAUGCGUAGAUAUCUGGAGGAACACCGGUGGCGAAGGCGGCAUCCUGGACCGAUACUGACGCUGAGGAGCGAAAGCCAGGGGAGCAAACGGG